rnacentral:rRNA from 1 species
GGGAUGGACGGACCACUGGUGUAUCUGUUGUCGACCAACGGCAUGGCAGAGUAGCCAAGUCCGGAAGGGAUAAACGCUGAAGGCAUCUAAGCGUGAAGCCCCCCUCAAGAUGAGAUAUCCCUUCCCAAGAGGAAGUAAGACCCCUUGAAGACGACAAGGUAGAUAGGGCAGAGGUGGAAGUGUGGCAACACAUGGAGCUGACUGUUACUAAUAGGUCGAGGGCUUGACCAAUAA